CUCGUUGUGGGACUGAAUUCAGGAACAUGAAAUGCCAGCGUGAAGCAACUGACUGGUCUCCAGGUGUGAAGCCUCACUGAGGCUCCAGGACCCUGUACAACACUGCCUCCAAAGCAGCUCUGCAGCAUUUCUGAGAAACAGUCACAGAGGCCACGUUCCUCACAUUGUUCAGGCCCCCAAGGGACGUGGACAAAUUCUUCCCUGAUGCUGGAGUUCGGAACACAGACAGAGAGCUGGCCUGCCCCUUCCUCCUGAACCUAGCAACAGAAUGCACAUUCACUCAUUCCACAGCCAGGAAUCCUACCAAGCCUGGGAAGAAGGGCACAAGGCCUUCGGCAGCAUUCAAAGCCUUCACCACCAGCCCCAACCUUCCCGAGUCUUCCCUCUUCAUCCAGACCUGCACUAUCCCACAAGGUAGACAGGAGCCCUGUGCGGCUACUUAACUAGGAAUGAACUAGAAUGAAAUAAAUUUGAAAACUUAGUUCCUUCAUUACACUGGCCUCAUUUCAAGUGCUUAACAGACACACAGGACUAGUGGCUACCGUGUCACUGAGGAGAUGUAAAGCUUCCCAUGUUCCAGAAAGCUCUAUGGGACAGCACGAAGCACCUUGCGGUGGUUUCCCCCAGGCCUUUGCAUAUGCAGGGUCCUCUGUCCAGCACACUCACACACACCUUUCCCCUCCAUCUGCAGGACUCGUACUCCUCUCUUAGAACUCCGGCCAACCCCUGCCCGCCCCCAAUCCGUACACGCAACUCCCCACACGGUUGUCAGGUGCUCUUCUGCACGUUCAAGGCCCUGUUUUUGCACCCUAUGGCGCACACUUUGUUUUAGCUGCAAGGCUACCUGCUGAUCUCUCCCACUAGGCUGUGGGCCUCUGAGGGAAGGAGCCAUGCUAGUACCAAGGUCAAGGACAGGGUCCCAGCACAGACCUGCCUGCAGCUUUUUUUGUUUGCUACCAGGGAUUGAACUCGGGUCCUUCUGCUUUUGAGGCAGGCAGUGGAACCACUGAGCUAAAUCCCUGGCCCCUGCCUGUAGCUUUUAUAGGAAGAAGCUGCCUAGUGAAAAGGCUGGUUUGGGUCUGAGCUCCCCUCUGAAAGGGCGAGAGGGGAGAGUGCCCCCCAAAGGCGGCGCUCCCCAGGUGAGUCACCUAACUUAGGAAAACCGAACCCUACAACCCACAGGGCAAGCAUCUGCGCUGUCACCCCCACCCCACCCCACAGGUCUCCUGAAAGGCUGCGCUCAGACAGACCUUAGGAGGCCAGCUGUGCCAUGCACCCAUUAGGUAUGUGACCAUUAGCCUAGGAGAUCACCUUGCCUGUCUGUGCCAUAGUCCCUCAUCUGCAAAAUGGGGUAGCAAUUCCUCACAGGGCUGGAAAGGGGGAAUGAAGCCCCAGCAGGAAACGCCUAGCCUCCUGGGGCACAGCCUGGCAGCACAGCCUGGGUGCUUGGGAGAUGGAGUGGUCCCUGUGUCCCAUACGAGGCUCCUGAGGCACUUCUUCGUGUCCUCGCCCCAUGCUGUGUCCAGGUGGCCUCUCCCUGCCUUCCCGGAUGGCAAGAGCAGGCAGGGGUGGAGGGACCAUCUGGUCCAGCCCUUAUAAUUGCCAGCACAGGAAACAGAGUCCAAGGAAAGGGACUCAAAGGCCCAUAGCCACACAGAUUGUCAGUGGAGAAUAAACAGGAAAGUUUACUCCCAGCUGAGAGAUCAGACAGGAAACGGGAACCUGCUGACAAACUCCCAAGUGACAGAACCAACCCAGAGGGAAGAUACUGUGACCCUGACUGCUGCAGAGGCUCAGGACCAGAGCGCCUGGGGCUGGGCAUGGCUCAGGUUUGAAUUUCAUGGGCAUCUCAUCACCUAAUUUAUUCUCACUAGUAGGUGAGACUUUUGAAGGAGAAAUUGAGGAUCAGAAAGGCUGCACAGCCUGUCUAAGCUCACACAGCUAGUACAAAACAGGUGAGCCUCUGAGUGACUCCCAAAACUCGUGUUUGAAACCUCUGGGCCGUUCUGGCUCCCACUCAACUCAAUGCAGCAAUAACUUUGGAGAAGGUUCCCGCCCUUGAAGAGUUUGCAGGUAGCUGAAGAGGCAGAAACUCAAACGGGUGAAUCACAAGGGAGAACAGGGUAUGCACAGAGGUCUGUCUAGUAUCCAGUGGAGCUGUCACCACCUAGUGUGUUUGUGACAUCCUUUCCAACCUGUAAAGUGGGGCCGCAACAGCAUCUGUGCUGUUGAAUGCUGUUCCAUUAAAUGUCGUAAUUCCUGACUUGAUAUGAUACACUGAGUGAGUCAGUAAAUCUAAGUUGUCAUUCUCAUCGUAAUUAUAUAUGCAACAGGGAUGCCGAACCAGGAGCUUCCAGGACAGAACUUGUUUCCAGAAGGAGAUGGAGGGUGGGUGACAGUGCUCCUUCCAGUGUCUGGGAUGGGGCCAGGCUAUUCCUGAGAAGGCUGGUUAGGCAGGGACAAGCCUGGUGUGCACAGGAAGUGGGGGCAGUCAGGGAUGGCAGGAGCCAGGUGUGCGAUGGAUGGCUGGAGCCCCAAGCUAGAAAGGCCGGCUUGGGCCAGCUGGGCUGGGGCAGGGAAGGUUGACAGGGCUCCAUCAGAGUUGGGGCAGGGCAGGCUGAAGGGUCUGGAGAGGGUCACACCUGGGGUAGAGCGAGCACAAAUCCAUUAGCUGCCAGGCUCUGGGACUCCCGUCAGCUUGGAGAGGCCAGAAUAGAGGCAGCAACUAGUAGUAGGAGCACAGCAAGUCAGUACUUAAAUGCCCCAAAGGCUGAGGCCAGGACUCCCACACUACCAGCCCAGAGGACAAAGCUGCUGUGGAAGCCAUCUCUCUCUGGCUGCAGGGACCCUUCUCAUGUCAAUGGCAAUAGCACAAACUUUGGAGUUAGGAGUCUUGGGUUCGAAUCCUGGCUUCAUGACCUUGAGCAAAUCACUCCUUCCUCUCCUAGGGUCCACCUUGGAGACCCUUAUUGGAAAAAUACUGGCGAGAGUCCUCCCAGAGUUGUGUUGUGAUGAGGUAACUCAGCAUCUUCAGGACUAACCUCAAGCUCCUGUGUAUGUGUGUGUGCGUGUCCACGUGCAUGUCCAAGGCCCUUCCUAAACUAGUUAAGCCUCUCUAUUUCAUUCAUGCCUCAUAUCUAUCUGCCCCACAACCUCCUCUCCAGCCAGAGCAACCCAUCUGGACAUGUGUUCACAUCAUCAGGCCAGUCCCUGGUUAGACUGAUAACCUGAGUGCAAACUCCAGCUUCACUGAUAUUCAGUGGCUAUGUGACCUUAGGCACAGGUUCUGAGCCUCACUUUCCUCAUUUGUAAAAUGGGGGCAAUGAGAUCCACCUCAUAGGGUUGCUGUGAGGAUGAAAUGACAGAGAGAGAGG